GCCAGAUCCAAGGAAACGCUCAGAUCUGGAAAUGACUCGAGGUCGUCCUCCGGUGUGGGAACCCGGUUGGGCUGGUUGAAGCCUAGGCAGAAGACGUCUGCCUGCUUUUGAGCCAAAGCAGGGAAGAGGCAGUGAGCCAUUUCCAUUUACGUCUUCCCUGUUGAAGGAUAUUAGAGGCCCUGGGUUGCGGAGGAACUGCAAGAGGGAAGGGGAUGUUGACCCAGCUUGGAUUUUGUGUGAGUAAGGAGUAAGCCCUUAUCAUGUUAAACCAUGAAGAUUUGGGGGUGUCCUUGUUGCUACAGCCUUGCCUAGUCCGGCCUGACCGAUACAGAGCCUGAAGACUCGGACAUGACCACUACACAUUCCUGGAGCUUCACCUGAGCAGAUUCCACGGACAUACCCCCUGAGCCUGAGCUUGUGCAUGUGCGCGUGCACACCCUGGCAGACAGCCCUCUCCAGGAAACCGUGUGGGCCUCUUCAUCAUCAGGCAGAAAGUCUUCAGCCCUCUAAUUGCCGUCCUCGCUAACUCCCUGGCUGGCUGCCCAGCCUGAGCCCCUGGAGGAGAAAUGACUCCAAAUUCAGAGCAUAAACUCUGUGGCUGAUGUAUUAGAAUGUUCAGCGCAAGAAUUCAGAUGCCCACAAGUUAGGAUUUCAGAAUCCCGGUUCCCACAGCAACCGUCCCAGUGCUCCUGCGUAGUUUUCAAUGUUACUACAUGGGGUGGGGGAGGGGGAUUGAAUGAUGGCUGCAGUGUGUAUGACUGUGAGGUGUGUGCAUAUGAGUGUGUGUGAGGGACUGUGUGCAUAUGUGAUUACGACUGUGUGUGUGAAUGUGAUGUGUGUGGGGCAGGGGGGCUUUAGCUCUGCUCUGUAUCAUCUCUCUCUCUGGGUCUGGAAAACCACUUUCUCAUGCAUAAAGACAAAAAUGUGUUCUCCUAGAUCAGAAAACCCUAGAGGGCAGGGCCCAUGGCUGGGUCAGCCCUGUGUCCCCCACAGUGUCCAAGGCAAUGUUUGUUGAUUGACUGAAUGAAUGAGCAGCAGCUGCCAGCUCCAAGGCAGCUGGUUGAAAGCGGAUAACCUCGAGGGCUUUAUUUUUGUGUCAAGCAUUCUCCCAUCCCCUAUCCCAAGAAGGGAACCUGGCUUCUCUGUUCUCUGACUUCUGUGCUACAGGAACAAAAGCAGAAAUUACCUGGAACCGUCUUUCCAUCCAGGCCUCAUUUCACAGAGGGCCGAAUGGAAGAUCAGCGUUUCUCAGACAUCAUUAUCACCUUUUUUGUUUUGAGACAGUGUCUCGCUCUGUCGCCCAGGCUGGAGUGCAGUGGCACAAUCUCGGCUCACUGCAACCUCCACCUCCUGGGUUCAAGCGAUUCUCGUGCCUCAGUUUCCCGAGUAGCUAGGACUACAGGCGCUUGCCACGAUGCUGGCUAAUUUUUGUAUAUUUUUUGUAGAGACGGGGUUUUCCCAUGUUGCCCAGGCUGGUCUCAAAUUCCUGAGCUCAAGUGAUCUGCCCACCUCAGCCUCCCAAAUUGUUGGGAUUACAGGCGUGAGCCACCACACCCGGCCCAUUGUUACCACUUUUGCCUGGCCCUGUGCCUCACACUUUUCUUUAAAUUGGUUCACUUUUUUGCUGCAAUAAAUUUAUUUGAAAAGGA